CGUUUCCCGCCGUGGCUUCUCUCAACCAAGUCACCAAAGUCAAAUGGAGCCAAGUAGACCAUCAGAGGACUGGACUGGUAGUUAAAGACGUCAUCUGUCUACCCAGAGGACACCUCCUGGCCCAUCCCGACCGGUUAGUGAACUGCUUUGGCUUCGUUUCUCAGAGGAAAAGGUACCGGAAAGGAAGGACUGCAAGUUAAAUAGAAAUGCAAGUUUGUUUUUUGUUGAACCAGGCAUAUCAAUUGAUGGUCAGUUGAUCAGUUGAUGAACACGUGGGGGUCCAUGUGAGCUAUCGGUAUUGGAGAAAUUAAUUAAGGCCAAAUAAACGUUGUGAUAGUUAUAUAAUACUCUGAGAAUUCACUGUUUAUCAGUCUAUCUUUCAAGGCGGGAGGUGGGGACGACGGCUCCCCCUUCCCUGAUAAAUAGAAGAAACAUAAUUUCUAUUUAGGCUAGAUAAACGUUGCAAUAGAUAUAUCAGGGUUCUCCCCAUAAAAUGCAGGCUAAUAUUGGCACCUUUCCAGCACCACCAUGUAACAUUUCAAACAGGCUGUUGCGACAGACGGUUAUUUGACUUCUUUGUUCAAAUUUCAUAUCUGAAAAUAUUCAAUUGGCUUAAAAAAAAAAUGCUAAACUGCAAUAUAAAUUGUUGAUUAUUUAGUUUAUUUUUCAACAAGAGUACUGUUAAAGUACCGGAUUGAUAAGCAGUAUUCAUAAGAGUAGCACUAUCGUUAAAAUCUCUUGUGCCCACCCCUCUGCCUGGCUUUGAGUGUCGCAACUAGAGACUAGUGGACAUCAUCAGAACCAUCAUGUAAGGUUUUUGAUGAAACAAACCCCUUCUCCAAACAUGGGACUCCACGAGGCAAAGAGAAGGCGGCGAUGGCUACCAUGGGAAUGACCGCGCGCAUCACUAUCGACUGCGGGUGGUCCACCAGGGAGAUGGCAAGUAGGCUGGUGAGCCACUUCCAUGGACGAUUAGGACGAAGGUCUUCUUUUGCUUACCUUCAGAAAGAACUUUCCUCUGGGGGUUGCCAUGGAAAGAUGUGGUGAGACCCAGCCGGUGGAAGGGAACCUGCCUCCGGAACACAGCCACAAGAUAGAUGUAGGUUAACCCCCGGAGACGAUCCCCACAGAUAAAAGCUCAAAGCUGUCCUUCAUACAGCUGGCCGCAUUUUAGAACGACUCGUCCUCCCCGCGGAUGUUGGUAAAAUGUCCCUUCUUUAAGGAAAUGGUUCAAUAUAAUGGGAAAAGGAUAUCUAGCCACUUAUGAAUACAGCUUGCUCUCGCUCAGCUGGACUUCGCCCUGAAGAAGUUCAGACGACACGCCGUGGAUCCGAGCCUCCAUCUCCUGGUCACCCCGAGUUGGAAGGAGCCGCUCCUCAGUGCGUUGAGGAUGUUGGGCAGUCCAGGCUUCUGCUUCAGAGCCUCCCCAGUCAUUUCUUUGUGUGACACAGAGCGAGAAGCUGGCGGACACCAUCUCGACCUCAGAGAGUUCUUCAGCUAAUGUGUGGCCAGAAUGCCUUUCUGGACGACUUUGACUGGAGAGACGUUACCGAUCCUGAGGCACAAGUCUGAAUGAAACAGCUUCAGAGUCCUACCAGUUUAGGGCUGUUAUCUGACAGCUCUUGUGACCGGUACAGAAGCUCUGAACUACCAGAGAACGACUCUACUGACCAUUCCUCCAUUUACGCCAGCCUGGUCAAACACUACAUCUACCACAGGGUAGCAAGUACGGCCGCUCAGUUCACAGACGGUUUGGACAGCUGCAGUGGUUUAUGGGAAACGGUGUGUACCAACUGGGAGGCAUUUGCUCCAGUUAUGACCGGCAUGGGACAUAAAACAAGGAGGACUAGUGCAGAUUGCAGCUUAAGAGGUGGAGAAGGAAUCCAAACAUCACCUAACAUCACAUCAAACAAUGGAGUGAUGCUUCACAAGUAUGGAAUAGUAAAAGGUAUAACCAGUUUUGUUUAUGCGUCACUGAAGUGGUAGCAUUUUAAGUACGUAGUAUAUCCAUGAGAAGUAGUGUGAUAAAAGCAUGGUCUACAGACUUAUAAGAAUGCUGUUCCUGAUGUUUAGGGGGUUGACAAUAUUUGUUUUAUAUAAAUGGUCAGACAAAAGUAGAUAACUCUGAAACAAUGAUAAUCCAAUGUCUACAUCUAAAUGCACCAGUUGCAGAUGUCUACAGAAAAAUUGCAGUGUUCUAAAUCCUAGGGCACAUGGAAAUGUUGUGAUAAAUUUGAUGUUUUAUUUAACAUUUGAAUACACAUUUCAUAUAAUUACAAUUUCAAAUGUACGUAUUUACUAAUGAAAUGCAACCAGGACGGUGUG